rnacentral:rRNA from 1 species
GAGCGGGUGUAGCAAUACACCAGCGGCAGACGGGAGAGUAACACGUGGGAACGUGCCCUUCAGUUCGGAACAACCCAGGGGAAACUUGGGCUAAUACCGGAUACGUCCGUAAGGAGAAAGAUUUAUCGCUGAAGGAUCGGCCCGCGUCUGAUUAGCUUGUUGGUGAGGUAAUGGCUCACCAAGGCGACGAUCAGUAGCUGGUCUGAGAGGAUGAUCAGCCUCACUGGGACUGAGACACGGCCCAGACUCCUACGGGAGGCAGCAGUGGGGAAUAUUGGACAAUGGGCGCAAGCCUGAUCCAGCCAUGCCGCGUGGAUGAUGAAGGCCCUAGGGUUGUAAAGUCCUUUCGGCGGGGAAGAUAAUGACGGUACCCGCAGAAGAAGCCCCGGCUAACUUCGUG